GGAGCAGGUUGGAAUUCACUUCAGGCAGGCUGGGAGUCAGUGAACGACAGCAGGAAAACCCAUUCUGAAGGAAGAUGGAAGAAGGGUGAACUUCUAGAGGCUGCCAGUGAGGUGUGUAGCAUGAGAGCCUUGGACAGAAUGAGGUGGGGAGAGGAACAGGAGUGGGAGAAAACCAAAGCAAGAACUGGGAUGGGAAGACAGAGGGCCAGAAGAUCAUUGGUGAGCAACUCCAUUGCCUUCCUAUUUCUAUUCAGCAGGGACUGAUUGUGUAUUUCAAGUUCAGAUAUUUGAAAGGCAUUCCUUUACCUUCUGCAGUCUAUUUGAAGAGAAAAUUGCCUGUUUUGAGUUGGCUUUGUUCAAUGCAAUUCACUCAUCAAAUACUGAGUACCUACUACAUGCCUGGCACUGUUCUGGUUACUUUUGUCCUACUGUCAUAUAAUUUGGAACUUUUGGAGAUUUCCUUUCCAAUUUCCACCUUUGACAAAUAGUCCCAUUUAUGAUGAAGGAUUUGAAGGCUAAUGUGAUGAAGUGAAGCCGGUAUAAACAGUGUGGCUUUUAACAGAUACUUAAAAUCCCUAAACACUAGCUUCCUCAUCUGUAAAAUGGAUGAAUAAAGUAUAAAGUGCUGCAAAAGGCUGACAUGAGGGUUAACUGGGCUCAUCCUGUAAGGUGAGCAUGGUCUCUAACACAUUUUAUACCUCCAGUAAGUGUUGCUCUCACUGUAACUGACAAAUCCUGGACUGGGCUACGCCUCAAAUCCAGCAUGGCACGUGCCCAUGGUUGCCAAAUAUGUGACCACAAGUCUCUUUUCUCUUGUCAAUUUAAAAACAAACUUUUUCGUGAGGUAUAAAAGUGAAAGAAAAUUGCUCGGUAAUAAUCAGCAGUGUGAUGAUAUUUUUCACAAAAUGAAAACCCUGGUUUGAGAGUGUGUGUUAAGUACAUGCAUGGGGUGUGUCUGGAAAAAAAAUAUGCACAGUCAUUUUAGGAGGUCAACAAGGUCUUAAACUGAAAAAUAAGGAAUAAUGAACGUGUGCCAUUUAGACAUAAGGAAGUAAAUAACAUGAUACUGUGAAAGUGUUAAAAUAUUUAAGUUACAAGUAGUGCCUCCCAAGAGUGAGAAUUGGGUAUAUGGGAGAGGGUGGUGGUGGUGGGUGGCACAGUAUCUUACCUUUUUCAUGAUUUAUGUAUUUGACUUUUAAAAAUAUAGAUGUUCUGCAUAUUGCAAUCUGAAAAAUAAAUUAUGAUAAUCAACAUCUGUAAUCUGUCCUCCCCUACUUCAAAGCCUUUGUCAUCAUUUCAAAUUUCAACCAGGUUUCCCUUGUUUCAAGUACCUUGAGUUUUAGUACUGUCUUAAUGAUGUUCUCUUAAGUUAUGUCUCUACUAUUCAGGUCUUAUUUAUAUGUUAUGUCAAACUUUUUAGCCUCAUUUUAUUUCCUCACUAUACAUUAUUAGACUGGUGUCUUAACCCACAUUAUCUAGUAUCCCAUGUUACACUUCUGUCACUAAUUAUGAUGUAUGUUUUUUCCAACAUAUCACUAAGCAAUUCUUUUGACACUAGAUGGAUGGUCCUAAAUUAAACUCAAUUCAGACACUACUUGGAGAGAGCGUCAGGUCCCACAGGUUAAGGGCUCAGUUCUGUACCACCACCCAUCUCCUCUCAUUUCAGACAUCGGUUGAAAGUUCAGGUUGUCACAGGUGUUUCUGACCGACGGAAUAUAGAUUAUAGGGGUUCCAACAAUCUAUUCCUUGGGAUUAACUAAUUGUUUUAUGUUAGAAAAAACCUAGGAAUAGCCAGAUGGAAGAGAUGUAUAGUGCAAGGUAUGGGGGGAAAGGGCACAAAGCUUCCAUGCCUUCUCUGGUCUGAGCUGUUCUCCCCAGAUUUCCACGUGUUCACCAACCUGGAAGUUCUCUGAACCCUGUCCUUUGGGGUUUUUACAGAGACUCCAUUACUUUGGCACUGUUGAUUAAACCACUGGCCAUUGGUGACUGAUUCAACUCUCAGCCUCAUUCUCCACUGUGGGGACAGUGAAAGUUCCCUCCAAUUACAUGGUUGGCUUCAUAUCCUUCGGUGCUUUCCAAAAGUCACCUCACAAAAAGCUUAGGUGUGGUUGAAAGAAGUUUGUUUUGAGUACCAACACAACUUUUUCUCUCUUAUCACUUAGGAAAUUCUGUGUGCCAGACUGGGAAGAAGACCAGAUACAUAUUUAUAAAUCACAAUAUCACACAUCUUCCUGUUUCCUGGAUAUUUGACUCCUUUUUAGAAUAGAUUUUCGAGUAAUUCUCUUAGAAACAAUUUGCUGAGUGCUAAACUGAAUUUUUAAUUAUUUGCUCAUGCAAAAAUUCAAGUCAAAUACUAACUGCUGUGUGAAAUUCUUAAGCGAAAUUAUUUCAAAGAAAUGAAGUAACCAGCAGGUCUUUUGCCCUUGAUACACAUAUACUGUAUUUUAUAUUUUAUAGUAUAUUACAUUAAGUUGACCUGAUUUUCCAACUACAAGGCUAUGAAAUGACCUGGCAGCCAAGGAUUCAGCGUAGUUUGUGUCCAACACUUAGCUGGUCCUCAAUGCUUACUAUUUUCUUAAAUAAUGAAGGGAUAGGGGAGCACAGAAGGAUAAAGCAUCUUUAUUUUAGCAGUUGGGGAAAGACUGAAGACAAUGAAAAAUUCCUGCUAACUCUUUAAGAUAGGCCAAAAUGCAGAGGUGGCUUUUUGUUUUUGUUACAGGAUUUGUUGGGCAAAGAGAAAAUAAGAUUCCAAAUAGGAAAAUGGCAACAUAUGCCAAGAUACAGCUGUGAGGAUGCAUAAUUUGCUUGGAGGACCUGGGUGAGAGCGGCAGGAUAUUAGGGGCUGACAAUGUCAAGAUCAGCCAUUUUAGGGAGUUUCUGUGAUGUCUUACGGAAUGUGAGGGAACGUUAAGUUUUACCCUCUAUGGAAUACCUAUGUCCUGAUAGCUAAAACAAAAAAUUGGUUGUGACCAGUAAUUUUUAAAACAUUUUCUACAAAAACCAAGGAACUCUCCUUCCCUUCCCUGUCCCAUGCCUGCACACCAGUUUUCAGUAGAUCUACAACUUUAUAAAGUUAAAAGUAGAUGUUCUAACUAUAAUUAGGAUGAGGAAUCUGGAUCCUAAGCUAUUUAUUCUAUACCUUUGCUUCUCCUUUUUCCUCUAUACUGUGGCAACUGAUGAAGUCAUACGCUGUGCAGAAAACACAAGAAAAAUUACAAGACAAGUGGCUUUCAACUAGAGGGUAUCUGAAGAAACAUUAUGGAAAUUGUACAUUUAGCAAAAUGGCCAUCAGUUUCUCAACUUCUGAAUGCAGCAUCACUUUAGAUAUGGUGACACUUACUAUUUGUGACGUUUAACACCAAAAUUUCUAUGGCAUGUAUAUUGGGGCUAAAGGUGAGGGUGGGGCACAGUACUGAGGAAAGGGUUGUUGGGGUUGAAAUACUGGGCUAGCUGGUCUCCAAGCUUCCCUCCUGACCCUUACCCUAAAAUGCAGAGUGGCCUAGGUAUUCAUGUUACUAAACUUUCUAAAUAUGACUCUACUAAUGUCCACAGAUAGACAGACUGGACCUGAAGAAUAAGAUGCUACAAACAUGCCAAUAACUUAAUAGUUUAUUAGUCAGUCAACAAUAUUACAAAUAUUUAAAAAUUACUUAAUAUAAAUAGUUGGCAGCAAACUAUUCCAUUACAGAGUUAAAUUACCAGUACAACAGACAGACUGGAGAUUUAGACAUCUGGAAGAUAACAAUAAAAUAAACUAAAAUAUUUUAACAAAAAAAUUUAAGCUGAAGGCGUUUACCUAGUGUC